AUUUCACAUGAUUUUUGGCCUGUACAUCUAAAUGCUAAUAAAACUCGGUGAACCGAUGGAAUUCCCUUCUGGAACGUGUAACGCAGGAAGAAACGAUCGUACGGUGCUCCGCGCCAGGACUCCCAAAAACUCAAUAACAAACGAAACGCGAAAUCCCGGUACCGUGUCGAAAAUUUUCGAAACUUCGUUUUCGACAGGUAUAAAAAAACCGAUGGCGCGGAGCCUUGAACACGUCACGGCCGUUGCGGUUGUCAUCGAAAAAACUCGGCGUGUAAUCGCGAAAGAAAAGUAAGACAAAACCAACCGCUAAUUAUAGCCGGGCUACGUUAGUAUUCCCGAGACGAUAUGAUAAUUAAACGCAAUCUCGUACAACGAUUAAAAACGAUAUUAAACUGCAAUAUAACCGCGAUAAUAAUUACUGUGACCAAGUUUCGCGUUUUGGGAAAUUGAUUCGCGUAAUAUUUUCGCACCACUGCCGUCCUUGUCGUUGCUAACGUUUAUUUUGUUUACCGCGCCCGUCAUCCCGAUGUAAACAAUACUCGUACGUUCAUUUUUCCCGAAAAUAAAUAUAGGUAGUUUAUGUCACGUAGUGCGAACAAACCCCACGGGGUGGUAUUAUCUAUAGAAAUAGUAAUAAUCGAAAAAAACAAAAAUGGAAAACUUUUUUUCAUACUACUCAUGACCACUAACGUAGGAGGAUAAUCGGAAAUCAAGCCCGGAUUAAGAUGAUUUUGGGCCUGGUGCCAAACAAUGUUAGGGAUGCAUAAACAUAUUCAAAAUAUUGGUGUUUAUAUAAUACUACCAGCCAAGACCAGGGGCCCACAGUAUUACGAUAUCCAUGGGCCUAGAAUCGCCCUUCCUCCAAAAUUUAAGCUUCUC